rnacentral:lncRNA from 1 species
GCUGCCCAUGGUCGGCCGAACCUUAGCACGCCAAUUGUCAACUGCAAGUGUACGAAUCAGUUGUAGAUCUUCACUCAGAGUAUUUUCCCUCAAGAUUUAUCAAUCCAUCGAACUUAUAGCACAAGACCUAUUUCAACUAGCAUUGUUAGUAUUAACUUGGUGUUUAUGAGAGAUUCAGAUCCAAUCUACUAAGUAUGUACAGACAGAUAACAGAUAGAGCAGAGGUAACCAAUCUAGAGCAACCUAGACUAUACAUAUGAUGUAAUUCGAAGCAAGGAUAGCAAAGCAACAUGGAUAUGAUCUUAGUAAAAAGCAUCUUUAAAUCUACACCUCCGGUCCGGAUCCUGAA